rnacentral:rRNA from 1 species
GAUGAACGCUGGCGGCGUGCUUAACACAUGCAAGUCGAACGGAAAGGCGAUGCUCUUGUGGGGUGCUCGAGUGGCGAACGGGUGAGUAACACGUGAGGAAACUGCCCUUGUCUUUGGGAUAACAUCAGGAAACAGGGGCGAAUACCGGAGAGGAGCUCCUGCUGCACGGUGGGGGUUGGAAAGUUUCGGCGGUGGGGGCUGGACUGGCGGCUUAUCAGCUUGUUGGUGGGGUAGGUGCUUACCAAGGCUUUGACGGGUAGCCGGCCUGAGAGGGUGAACGGCGACAUUGGGACUGCGAUACGGACCAGACUCGUACGUGAGGCAGCAGUGGGGAAUUUUGCGCAAUGGGCGGAAGCCUGAUGCAGCAACGUCGCGUGCGGGAUACCGGCCUUCGGGUUGUAAACCGCUUUCGCAGUUGCCGAAGCGUGAGUGACGGUAAUGGGUAAAGAAGCACCGGCUAACUACGUG